UACGGGGGGGGCAAGCGUUGUUCGGAAUUACUGGGCGUAAAGGGUUCGUAGGUGGCCAACUAAGUCAGACGUGAAAUCCCUCAGCUUAACUGGGGAACUGCGUCUGGGACUGGAUGGCUUGAGUGCAGGAGAGGAACGCGGAAUUCCAGGUGUAGCGGUGAAAUGCGUAGAUAUCUGGAGGAACACCGGUGGCGAAGGCGGCGUUCUGGACUGCUACUGACACUGAGGAACGAAAGCCAGGGGAGCAAACGGG
rnacentral:rRNA from 1 species